rnacentral:rRNA from 1 species
GAGUUUGACCUGGCUCAGAUUGAACGCUGGCGGCAGGCCUAACACAUGCAAGUCGAGCGGUAGAGAGAAGCUUGCUUCUCUUGAGAGCGGCGGACGGGUGAGUAAUGCCUAGGAAUCUGCCUGGUAGUGGGGGAUAACGCUCGGAAACGGACGCUAAUACCGCAUACGUCCUACGGGAGAAAGCAGGGGACCUUCGGGCCUUGCGCUAUCAGAUGAGCCUAGGUCGGAUUAGCUAGUUGGUGAGGUAAUGGCUCACCAAGGCGACGAUCCGUAACUGGUCUGAGAGGAUGAUCAGUCACACUGGAACUGAGACACGGUCCAGACUCCUACGGGAGGCAGCAGUGGGGAAUAUUGGACAAUGGGCGAAAGCCUGAUCCAGCCAUGCCGCGUGUGUGGAGAAGGUCUUCGGAUUGUAAAGCACUUUAAGUUGGGAGGAAGGGCAGUAAAUUAAUACUUUGCUGUUUUGACGUUACCGACAGAAUAAGCACCGGCUAACUCUGUGCCAGCCGCCGACGG